rnacentral:rRNA from 1 species
GUAGGGAAUAUUGGACAAUGGGCGAAAGCCUGAUCCAGCCAUGCCGCGUGAUAGAUGAAGGCCCUCUGGGUUGUAAAUAUCUUUUAUCUGGGAAGAAACUCCUCUAUUCUUAGAGGCCUGACGGUACCAGAGGAAUAAGCACCGGCUAACUCCGUGCCAGCAGCCGCGGUAAUACGGAGGCUGCACGCGUUAUCCGGAGUCACUGGGUUUAAAGGGUGCGUAGGCGGGUUGAUAAGUCAGUGGUGAAAGCUCCGGGCUUAACUUGGAAACUGCCAUUGAUACUGUAAAUCUUGAAUGUCGUAGAGGUAAGCGGAAUGUUGCAUGUAGCGGUGAAAUGCUUAGAUAUGUUGCAGAACACCAAUUGCGAGGGCAGCUUAGUAUGCGAUAAUUGACGCUGAGGGACGAUAGCGUGGGGAGCAAACAGGAUUAGAAACCCCGGUAGUCC